AUGGACACGGCGCGGCGCUCACCGGUCUGCCUCGACCUCAUGGUCGGGCUUCCCAUGGUCUGCGAGCCAUCUUCAGCGAGGUGCACCGGAAUGAGAGCCCAAGCCGACAUUGCAAGCUCGGCCUGUGGCAGAGCAACUUCCAUGACCAGCAGCGAGGCAAAUAAGAUUAUGGAGGCGAAGUUCACGGAGGUGACCGAGGAGAACCGGAGGCUGACCGAGAUGAUCGGCUACCUGUACGCUAAUAGCCAGAAUUUCGCGCGACAGAGUCCCGAAGGCGAGGGCGAGCAGCCCGCAAGUACUGCUGCGUCGCCGACAUCGCCGGUGGGCAAGAAAAGGAGCAGGGAGAGCAUGGACACGUCGGAUUCUGGCGAUGUCAACAGCGACAAGAAAAUGGGCACGGCCGAGGCCGAGCAUAUCGACGUCGAGAGCCCGCUGAGCAACGGCACUUGCCGGAGAAUCAAGGUCAAGAGGGUCUGCACCCGGAUUGACCCAUCGGACACGAGCCUCGUGGUUAAAGAUGGGUAUCAAUGGCGGAAGUACGGGCAGAAGGUGACACGGGACAACCCGUCCCCCAGAGCCUACUUCCGAUGCGCCUUCGCGCCGUCCUGCCCUGUCAAGAAGAAGGUUCAGAGAAGCGCGGAGGACAGCUCGGUGGUGGAGGCGACGUACGAGGGCGAGCACAACCACCCGCGCCCCACGCGGGCCGGCGAGCUGCCGAGCUGCGCAACGCAGGGCGGCGGCUCGGUGCCGUGCUCCAUCUCCAUCAACUCCUCCGGCCCGACCAUCACGCUGGACCUCACCAAGAACGGGGGAGGCGUGCAGGUCGUCGAGGCAGGGGAGGCGCAACCGGACCUGAAGAAGGUGUGCCGGGAGGUCGCGUCGCCGGAGUUCCGGGCGGCUCUGGUGGAGCAGAUGGCCCGCGAGCUCACCGGCGACCGAAAGUUCACCGACGCGCUCGCCGCCGCGAUCCUGCGGAAGCUGCCGGAUUAUUAG
rnacentral:rRNA from 1 species